AGACAAGGGUUUACAAGCCAUUUUAAGGCAUGAAGAAAUUUUCACUUGAAUUUUUUUUUAAAUAUGUAAUUUUGGUGAUCAAAGAUGAGUUUUAACCCUUUAACUGCCCCACCAAGGAAAAGGCAUUUGAAAAUUUUUUUGUUUGCAUUUUUUAUCUCAUUAUGUCACUAGUUACCACACUCACUGUAUUUUUAAAAUAUCGGCCUCUACCAAAUGGUUGAUUUGUCACUUAAUGGUAAAAUAAUGAAAUUCAUACACAUAGUAUGACAAUCAGAAAAUAUGAACUAUAAUACUAAUUUAUUUAAAAAAAAUCAAAAUAAAAUAGUUUUAUGUAUUGAAUCUUGUUUAUUUUUUGAAGUAUUCCAUAAAAUAUUUCAGAUUUUCAUUUUAACACAGGAAAUUACAUGUUUUCUUGUUUUUUUUUAACAAUAAACAAAAAUAAAUAACACAAAUAACUAAAAGUAACAAAACUAAAGACAUUACAUUCUUUCACCAUUCAAAAACUAAAAACAAAAUAGCAAAAGAUAGUAUUAUAAUGGCAUUUUAGGCUUUUAUGAUUCAAGAAACACGCCAUCAAGUGUGGUAGUGCAACAGGAUUUCUCUUUUUCUUUUUUUUCUUUUUUUUUAGAUAUAUAAACAUGUCCCCUCUCAGACGGGGUGAUAAUCCGGAUCCUCUAUUGGGUCAUCAGCAUCACUGAGAUCAGCAUCAGAAUCUUGGGACUUUUCUGGGACAAGGGCCUGAAGAGUGCACGUUCUUGUACCAUAGAAACUGUUGACAUCCAUCUAGUAAUUGUAAAAAAACAACAAACAAAUAAAUAAAUCACAAUUUCUUACAAUUUUAGUAAUGUUAGCACACCAGCAUUUGUCAUUUAAGAAGUAACUGCCUCUGAUAAUUAUAAUUUCCACACAUUAAUUCUAUGAAUUCAUUAUAUUUACUUCAAAAAAUAUGCAAAAGUGGCAAAAAAAAAAAAAAAAAAAACAUAUUUAAGAAAUUAUCUCAGCAUAUUCAUGAAGAAAUAACAAUAGCCAUCAUAUUCAUAGCGAAGAAUGAUCAGAAGUUUAUAUUUCACAGCAAAUAGUCCAUUCUGACUGCAGAAAUGGAUGAUCUGAAAAGAUUACUUUAGCUUUUCUGCAUACCAUAAAGUGACAAAUCAACCGUUUCGUUGAGCAUGUUUUUGAAAAAUUAUUAAAAUCAUACUAGUUUUUUCAUGGCACCAAGUAACAUAAUUUUGUAAAGUUAGGGCUCUUACAGUGUAAUAUGUCAAAAAAAAAAAUUAGCUUACCUUGCAAAAUGUCACCAAGAACAGUUCACAUGGCAGGAGUGAUUUCUUUGCUUCUUGACAUCCAUGUUUGAAGAAGUGUUGUGACAAGUGCUGUUGAUUGACACUCUGACAUCUAGUGGAUUUUUUUGGCAUAACAUACCUCAACCAGAUGCUAGAGAUGGCUCAAUCAGCUUGAGUUAAGUUAGGUACUCCUCUCAAUGAAAUAUAGUGACUCAAAAUGUGCUCAACCAUUUGGUCAAGCAGGCAGUUAAAGGGUUUUAAGGGAUAAAAUAUUUGACUACAGGGGGACUUUAAGGUAAAUUUUAAUUAAAAAGUUAAAAUUAGAAAAAAAAAAAAUCCAUAUUUAAAUACUGAAUUAAAUUUAUGUAGUCAAAUUGUAAAUGCUGUGUAAAUAUAUUAAUGCCACUUCUCAUUCUGUGUCACCUCUGUAAUGCAAAGAUGGAUUUUGUUGAUAAUGAUUUCAUUUGAUUGGAAACAGCCAUAAUGUAUAAGCUACUAUGCUAGUAUUACCUUUUAUUUCUUAAGGUCUUAAAAAGCCUUAAAUUUGACUUUAAAAAAUGUGCAGCAACCCUGAAAGAGAAAAACUAAAUAAACAAAGUAAAAAUUAUUUAGACUGAUUUUAUGAUUGUUUCAUUAAAUGGGUAUUAUCUCUAAGAUGGAUAUGCAAUUUGAUAUGAUAUUUGCCAUCUGAAUCUAACCAUGUCAUGUCAAGAAAUGGAAAAGUCAGUCAGCUAUUCAUUGUUAAUUAUUACGCUUUUGCCCCAACAGCAGGGGCGCUUUUUUACCCCAAAUACCAUACUUUUACAUAUUCUUCAGUUACUUAAAGACUGUUGCUUGAAUUGCUUGAACAGAACUGAAAAUCAUUAAGAAGACCUUUAUCUGAAAAUACAAACAUUAAUUUAAUCGUUUCUUAUUUGCUACUGAAAUCAACAUUUUAAAAAACAUCAAAUAUUAGAUCAAACUACCUCAGAAUCAACUUUGCGUUGCUGCCCGCGAUCGCGUCAAAGAUCAGACAAAUUUACGUGCGUUCUGAAAAACGUCCUUUUGCCCUGUUGUAUAAAGUCAUAUAUUGUAUAAAGUCAUAUAUUGCCCUGUUGUAUAAAGUCAUAUAUUGCCCUGUUGUAUAAAGUCAUAUAUUGUAUAAGUCAUAUAUUGCCCUGUUGUAUAAAGUCAUAUAUUGUAUAAGUCAUAUAUUGCCCUGUUGUAUAAAGUCAUAUAUUGUAUAAAUCAUAUAUUGCCCUGUUGUAUAAAGUCAUAUAUUGUAUAAAGUCAUAUAUUGCCCUGUUGUAUAAAGUCAUAUAUUGUAUAAGUCAUAUAUUGCCCUGUUGUAUAAAGUCAUAUAUUGUAUAAAUCAUAUAUUGCCCUGUUGUAUAAAGUCAUAUAUUGUAUAAAGUCAUAUAUUGCCCUGUUGUAUAAAGUCAUAUAUUGUAUAAAGUCAUAUAUUGCCCUGUUGUAUAAAGUCAUAUAUUGUAUAAAGUCAUAUAUUGCCCUGUUGUAUAAAGUCAUAUAUUGUAUAAGUCAUAUAUUGCCCUGUUGUAUAAAGUCAUAUAUUGUAUAAAGUCAUAUAUUGCCCUGUUGUAUAAAGUCAUAUAUUGUAUAAGUCAUAUAUUGCCCUGUUGUAUAAAGUCAGUUACUGUAUAAGUCAUAUAUUGCCCUGUUGUAUAAAGUCAUAUAUUGUAUAAAGUCAUAUAUUGCCCUGUUGUAUAAAGUCAUAUAUUGCCCUGUUGUAUAAAGUCAGUUACUGUAUAAGUCAUAUAUUGCCCUGUUGUAUAAAGUCAUAUAUUGUAUAAAGUCAUAUAUUGCCCUGUUGUAUAAAGUCAUAUAUUGUAUAAAGUCAUAUAUUGCCCUGUUGUAUAAAGUCAUAUAUUGUAUAAGUCAUAUAUUGCCCUGUUGUAUAAAGUCAUAAUUAUUGUUUUAUCGCCAGGCCCUAACAUUUUCUUCUCUUCUGGUUUCACAGAGGUCAAGUUACAUAACCUAAAUAUAUCUUCAGUGGAAAUACCUUUACGGUUUUGAUAUAAUUUGGGUAAAGAUUAGAAAAGUGAAGUAAUGACGCAGAUCUGUUAUAUGAGGCCAUUUCAUGAGCGUCAGUGUUUGUUGUUGUCAGUGAACAAGAGUGUGUCACGAUCAUAUAAACACACAGAACAACAUCAUAUAACAACAUGGCACGAUAUUAAAUAAACUAAGCUGAUA